rnacentral:rRNA from 1 species
GGAAGUAAAAAGUCGUAACAAGGUUUCCGUAGGUGAACCUGCGGAAGGAUCAUUAUUGAAAUAAACCUGAUGGGUUGUUGCUGGUUCUCUAGGGAGCAUGUGCACACCUUGUCAUCUUUAUAUCUCCACCUGUGCACUUUUUGUAGACCUUCUCAGGUCUAUGUUGCUUCAUUUUACCUCCAAUGUAUGUCAAUAGAAUGUUGUGCCUUAUAUAAUAUAUACAACUUUCAGCAACGGAUCUCUUGGCUCUCGCAUCGAUGAAGAACGCAGCGAAAUGCGAUAAGUAAUGUGAAUUGCAGAAUUCAGUGAAUCAUCGAAUCUUUGAACGCACCUUGCGCUCCUUGGUAUUCCGAGGAGCAUGCCUGUUUGAGUGUCAUUAAUAUAAUCAACCUUCUCUUUGUUGAGUGGUUUUGGAUGUGGGGGUUUGCUGGCCUCUCUCAAAAGGUUCAGCUCCCCUGAAAUACAUUAGCAGAACAACCUUGCUCAUUGGUGUGAUAGCUUAUCUACGCUUAUGAAUGCAAGGGGGCAGUUCAGCUUUCUAACGGUCUUUGGACAA